rnacentral:rRNA from 1 species
GAUGAACGCUGGCGGCGUGCCUAAUACAUGCAAGUCGAGCGAACGGACGAGAAGCUUGCUUCUCUGAUGUUAGCGGCGGACGGGUGAGUAACACGUGGAUAACCUACCUAUAAGACUGGGAUAACUUCGGGAAACCGGAGCUAAUACCGGAUAAUAUUUUGAACCGCAUGGUUCAAAAGUGAAAGACGGUCUUGCUGUCACUUAUAGAUGGAUCCGCGCUGCAUUAGCUAGUUGGUAAGGUAACGGCUUACCAAGGCAACGAUGCAUAGCCGACCUGAGAGGGUGAUCGGCCACACUGGAACUGAGACACGGUCCAGACUCCUACGGGAGGCAGCAGUAGGGAAUCUUCCGCAAUGGGCGAAAGCCUGACGGAGCAACGCCGCGUGAGUGAUGAAGGUCUUCGGAUCGUAAAACUCUGUUAUUAGGGAAGAACAUAUGUGUAAGUAACUGUGCACAUCUUGACGGUACCUAAUCAGAAAGCCACGGCUAACUACGUGCCAGCAGCCGCGGUAAUACGUAGGUGGCAAGCGUUAUCCGGAAUUAUUGGGCGUAAAGCGCGCGUAGGCGGUUUUUUAAGUCUGAUGUGAAAGCCCACGGCUCAACCGUGGAGGGUCAUUGGAAACUGGAAAACUUGAGUGCAGAAGAGGAAAGUGGAAUUCCAUGUGUAGCGGUGAAAUGCGCAGAGAUAUGGAGGAACACCAGUGGCGAAGGCGACUUUCUGGUCUGUAACUGACGCUGAUGUGCGAAAGCGUGGGGAUCAAACAGGAUUAGAUACCCUGGUAGUCCACGCCGUAAACGAUGAGUGCUAAGUGUUAGGGGGUUUCCGCCCCUUAGUGCUGCAGCUAACGCAUUAAGCACUCCGCCUGGGGAGUACGACCGCAAGGUUGAAACUCAAAGGAAUUGACGGGGACCCGCACAAGCGGUGGAGCAUGUGGUUUAAUUCGAAGCAACGCGAAGAACCUUACCAAAUCUUGACACCCUUUGACAACUCUAGAGAUAGAGCUUUCCCCUUCGGGGGACAAAGUGACAGGUGGUGCAUGGUUGUCGUCAGCUCGUGUCGUGAGAUGUUGGGUUAAGCCCCGCAACGAGCGCAACCCUUAAGCUUAGUUGCCAUCAUUAAGUUGGGCACUCUAAGUUGACUGCCGGUGACAAACCGGAGGAAGGUGGGGAUGACGUCAAAUCAUCAUGCCCCUUAUGAUUUGGGCUACACACGUGCUACAAUGGACAAUACAAAGGGCAGCGAAACCGCGAGGUCAAGCAAAUCCCAUAAAGUUGUUCUCAGUUCGGAUUGUAGUCUGCAACUCGACUACAUGAAGCUGGAAUCGCUAGUAAUCGUAGAUCAGCAUGCUACGGUGAAUACGUUCCCGGGUCU